GAAAUAUGUUUUAAAAGACUGGACGUAAGCAGAUAGAUUCUUUAAUAUUAAGACAUUUUGUUGGUGUUUUUUUUUUUUGUACUAGAUGUAAUUAAAUGUUCACUUGGAUUGAAUGUUGCUAUGAUGAGCAAAAACUAAAGAUUAAGAGAACUAGUAACUCACUAUUGGAAGACAUAUUAUGCUAGAUACACAUAAUAUUUAUAUAUGUACAAUUAUGGAAAUUAAAAUCAAGCUUAAA
rnacentral:misc_RNA from 1 species